UGGAGAUUUUGUCGCCACAAGGGUAAUUCUGUCUUUUCACGUUUUGUGUACGGGAUUGUGGUUGGGUCCAAUUGCAUUUGUGCAACUUAAUUUAUAUAGAUCAAAUGGUAUUUGUAUGUGGUGCAAUUAUAUGUUAUAUGGUGUAAAUUAGAGGCUAAAAGAAAAAGGGAAAAGAAAAUAAAAUUGGAGGGGCCCACCACUCACAUUUUUAUGGUCCAGGGACCAGUCCUCUCUCCCUCAUUCUUUCUCUCUUCCCGUAACUUCUAUCUCUCCCUCUUCUCUCAUUCAUUUUUCUUUUCUUUUGGAACCAAUCUUUGAAACAAGGUUUCUCUCUCAAUUCUUGCCAGAUUUAGGUGCCGUUUGAGGCAAAACGAAGCCCACAACGAGCUAUACGCGCUAGUAUGAACAAUUUUAGAUUCGGUGCUUCCUAGGGAGUUCAAAAUUAGAGACCCAUUUUAAGGGUUUUCGCAUUUUAAGAGGAAAUGGGAAAGAAGUGGCAAAUGAAAAUCCGCCGCAAGCUUGAAGAUGAUUAAGAGUUGUAUUUUGUUAUCUUUUGUAUCUUAGCCCAUUUUUUUUUUGUAUAGUCUCAAAACUAAAAUGUCUUGUAUUCAUUUUUGCAAGCCAAGGUCAUGUAUUGUAAAUCAUAACUCUUGUUGAUAUUUUGAAGAGAAGCAAGACUAUGUAAAUGCUUAAGUUGAAUGGGAUGACAAUGAUGGGCUAA